rnacentral:rRNA from 1 species
GACGAACGCUGGCGGCGUGCUUAACACAUGCAAGUCGAACGGAAAGGCCCUGCUUUUGUGGGGUGCUCGAGUGGCGAACGGGUGAGUAACACGUGAGUAACCUGCCCUUGACUUUGGGAUAACUUCAGGAAACUGGGGCUAAUACCGGAUAGGAGCUCCUGCUGCAUGGUGGGGGUUGGAAAGUUUCGGCGGUUGGGGAUGGACUCGCGGCUUAUCAGCUUGUUGGUGGGGUAGUGGCUUACCAAGGCUUUGACGGGUAGCCGGGCUGAGAGGGUGACCGGCCACAUUGGGACUGAGAUACGGCCCAGACUCCUACGGGAGGCAGCAGUGGGGAAUAUUGCACAAUGAGCGGAAGCCUGAUGCAGCAACGCCGCGUGCGGGAUGACGGCCUUCGGGUUGUAAACCGCUUUCGCCUGUGACGAAGCGUGAGUGACGGUAAUGGGUAAAGAAGCACCGGCUAACUACGUG